rnacentral:rRNA from 1 species
GAUGAACGCUGGCGGCGUGCCUAAUACACGCAAGUCGAGCGAACGGACGAGAAGCUUGCUUCUCUGAUGUUAGCGGCGGAAGGGUGAGUAACACGUGGAUAACCUACCUAUAAGACUGGGAUAACUUCGGAAAACCGGAGCUAAUACCGGAUGAUAUUUUGAACCGCAUGGUUCAAAAGUGAAAGACGGUCUUGCUGUCACUUCUAGAUGGAUCCGCGCUGCAUUAGCUAGUUGGUAAGGUAACGGCUUACCAAGGCAACGAUGCAUAGCCGACCUGAGAGGGUGAUCGGCCACACUGGAGCGGGGACACGGUCCAGACUCCUACGGGAGGCAGCAGUAGGGAAUCUUCCGCAAUGGGCGAAAGCCUGACGGAGCAACGCCGCGUGAGUGAUGAAGGUCUUCGGAUCGUAAAACUCUGUUAUUAGGGAAGAACAUAUGUGUAAGUAACUGUGCACAUCUUGACGGUACCUAAUCAGAAAGCCACGGCUAACUACGUG